UACUGCUACUUCAUUUAGUCCACUGUAUACCUAGAUAGAAACAUAGUCCCAUUCUACUUUAUUAAAAACCUUAUACAACGAUACUUAUCCGAAGAAAGCUAAAUUCGCGAUUAUGUUCAGUAUCAACGAAAUCCCUAAUCAAUAAUAAUCAAAAUAAUGAUCGAAAUUAUAAAAGAUAAUUACAUAGGUAAUUCCACUUCAUCCUUAUUUUUCGACAUUCCUUCGAGUCCGACGGGCAUGUCAGUAUACUGUCCGCAUCCAACGUCAAGACAGAUUCGUUACGAAACUUUGUAGUAAAUUCAUUGAGCCGAAAUCAAAGAAAGAUAUGCUCGAACAGCAAAUUUUCAACGAAAUUUUGUUCGUGCUUUCGAUCGCGAUCGAUAAUUCCUAAUGGACGAAAGAGUGGCCAAAGUGUGAAUGAAAUGUUCUGUUGUUAAAUAACUGCCAGAUUUGACAGUGGAUUGGUAAUAUUGUUUCGUGAUACGUGUUUAAGCGUGGAAAGUAACAUGUACAGUGUACUUGCUUGGCGUUGAAAUAGCCGUAACGCGUAUCUUUGUACGGAACGCGAAAGAAGGAGGCCAAUGAUAUUCAAGUAAGAAGUUAAAUAUUCGUCAGAGUUGAAUUUUGUUCUAUCUGGUUUAUUUAAUUUCUUUUCAAUCAGGUUUAAUUUACCACAGUUGUUGGAGUGUCUAUUUUUCGAGUUAUAUCAAUUUUAUAAUUUAUAUUCUACUAUUGCUGUUCGUCAAAAGAUAUAAUAGAAACUUUUCUUUUAUAAUUGGAUAAGUCAUCGAGUAAAAUAGAUAGUUAUCUUGGGACGACUAAAAUUUUUAAUUGAGAUACAGAAGAUGGAAUCGAUGUGAUAAUAUAAGAAAUGACUAUGUUUCACUGUUCGAUUAAUUGCGACGAUUGAUCUAACGUCACUGAAAAUAAUGGCGAAAUUUAGUUCCCCAGUUAUAGUGAAAUUCAUAGUGAAACUUCCCAUAGUGAAAUUUGAUCAAUCUUCCUGAUAUAAUUUCAUUUAUGUCGUUCAUAAUAUUCCAAUUUUAAGAAAUACGCAACAAGCGGCCCCUCAUCGGUUAAUGCUAUGUGGAUACGGCGGAGACUUGAUACGAUUAUUAAGAUUUGGCGAACCUCGAAUUAUAUGUAUACGAGACGCAAAGAAAGCAGGAUGAGGUACGAUUGCAAUAUACAACGGUGGUAAACAGGUGACUUUUAUGCUCGUUAUUACCUUUAAACAAUGAUUUCUGUCAUCUAUCUAUACAUAUACGCAGGGGUUGCGGAAAAAUUUCUGGAAGACCAAUUUCCAUGAUUGCCUUAUGUCGAUCAAUCAUGCAGUCGUGUAAUUCUAUAAAUUAAGAUUAUUGCUUAAGCUUUAGACGUCUUAUUUUUUAAGCUUUAAGAAGGAAUCUUAUUUCCAUUUUCGUAAUCGACAUUCUAAUAUUCCUUACACAUGAGUUGAAGAUAUACUCGAUGUAGUUUAAUGUAACGAAUAUGAUAAGCGAAAAUAAUAAUUUUGAUAUCGUAGAAAUAGAUAACUAUUAAACAUAAUUUAUGCUUAACAGACAUAAAACGUGAUAACGAUAAACACGAAACGACAAUAAUAAUUAACGCUAAAAUGAUUCUCACUCUAAAUCGCCCUCUACUCACUUUUCACGCUCUGAAAAUUAUUGUUCCAAGCUAUCGACAGUAACUUACUGAUUUUUUUGUGGCGAAUUUACACAUUUAUCUUAAUGUUUCUUUGGUACUUUUGGUAGACAAUAUGAAGGAUAUAACGAUAGGUAUUACUUCGUCGAUAAUUUUAACGAUUUUUUUCCGGUAUAAAUAACGUGUCGCGGACGAUUUCGACAAACAGUGGAAGAUUGCACAAGUUACAUACAUAGCAAUAACAGAUAUCAAGAACCAUGGAAGUCAUGAGAUUCUUACUUUGCGUUGCAGUCAUUUUUAUGAUUGCUUUCAUUUCAGCAAGCAAUGCGAACCCAGAACCUAAUCCUUCGCCAGAGGCGGAUCCGGAAGCAGCUAACAUAAAGGAUAUAUUAGGAAAAGUAGCAAAAGUGUUGGCUCACUUUGGAUAAUCGACCACAACGAUACGUGUACGACAGGUGCAGGCACGACUGCCGGCUUUUAAAUAUGACGACUUUAAAUGCAUAUAUGUAUACGUAACUACGAAUGUAUACGAAACAUGUAAAAAUUGGCCAUAUAAAUUUUUUGUUGCUUAACUAGACAAUUAAAA